UAGAUUCAGAACUCGUGUUUAAAGCCUUUAGCCCAGCAAUGGGAGAGUGCUAAAGGCUUCAAACACGAGUUCUGAAUCUA
ensembl:miRNA